GUUAAUGAGGCGAACCGGGGGAACUGAAACAUCUAAGUACCCCGAGGAAAAGAAAUCAACCGAGAUUCCCCCAGUAGCGGCGAGCGAACGGGGAGGAGCCCAGAGCCUGAAUCAGCAUGUGUGUUAGUGGAAGCGUCUGGAAAGGCGCGCGAUACAGGGUGACAGCCCCGUACACAAAAGCGCAUGUGCUGUGAGCUCGAUGAGUAGGGCGGGACACGUGGUAUCCUGUCUGAAUAUGGGGGGACCAUCCUCCAAGGCUAAAUACUCCUGACUGACCGAUAGUGAACCAGUACCGUGAGGGAAAGGCGAAAAGAACCCCGGCGAGGGGAGUGAAAAAGAACCUGAAACCGUGUACGUACAAGCAGUGGGAGCACAGGUUUACCUGUGUGACUGCGUACCUUUUGUAUAAUGGGUCAGCGACUUAUAUUCUGUAGCAAGGUUAACCGAAUAGGGGAGCCGGAGGGAAACCGAGUCUUAAUUGGGCGUUAAGUUGCAGGGUAUAGACCCGAAACCCGGUGAUCUAGCCAUGGGCAGGUUGAAGGUUGGGUAACACUAACUGGAGGACCGAACCGACUAAUGUUGAAAAAUUAGCGGAUGACCUGUGGCUGGGGGUGAAAGGCCAAUCAAACCGGGAGAUAGCUGGUUCUCCCCGAAAGCUAUUUAGGUAGCGCCUCGUGAACUCAUCUCCGGGGGUAGAGCACUGUUUCGGCUAGGGGGCCAUCCCGGCUUACCAACCCGAUGCAAACUGCGAAUACCGGAGAAUGUUAUCACGGGAGACACACGGCGGGUGCUAACGUCCGUCGUGAAGAGGGAAACAACCCAGACCGCCAGCUAAGGUCCCAAAGUCAUGGUUAAGUGGGAAACGAUGUGGGAAGGCCCAGACAGCCAGGAUGUUGGCUUAGAAGCAGCCAUCAUUUAAAGAAAGCGUAAUAGCUCACUGGUCGAGUCGGCCUGCGCGGAAGAUGUAACGGGGCUAAACCAU
rnacentral:rRNA from 1 species